rnacentral:rRNA from 1 species
GCGGAGGAAAAGAAACUAACUAGGAUUCCCUUAGUAACGGCGAGUGAACCGGGAUGAGCUCAAAUUUGAAAUCUGGCGUCUUUCAGGCGUCCGAGUUGUAAUCUAUAGAGGCGUUUUCCGCGCCGGACCGCGUCCAAGUCUCUUGGAAUAGAGUAUCAAAGAGGGUGACAAUCCCGUACUUGACGCGACAACCGGUGCUCUGUGAUACGUUCUCAACGAGUCGAGUUGUUUGGGAAUGCAGCUCUAAAUGGGUGGUAAAUUCCAUCUAAGGCUAAAUAUUGGCGAGAGACCGAUAGCGAACAAGUACCGUGAGGGAAAGAUGAAAAGCACUUUGGAAAGAGAGUUAAACAGCACGUGAAAUUGUUAAAAGGGAAACGAUUGAAGUCAGUCGUGUGAAAGGUAUUCAGCCGUCUCUGGCGGUGUAUUUGCCUUUCACGGGUCAACAUCAGUUUAGUCCGGUAGAAAAAGGCUGGAGGAAGGUGGCACCCUCGGGUGUGUUAUAGCCUCCUGUCACAUGUGCCGGAUUAGACUGAGGAACGCAGCUUGCCGCAAGGCCGGGGUUCGCCCACGUACAAGCUUAGGAUGUUGACAUAAUGGCUUUAAACGACCCGUCUU